ensembl:lncRNA
CCUGGGACCAGUUCGGGUUGUUUGCUGUCUUGCUGACUGCUAAAUAAACUUGCUUCGUCUGAAUCCGGUCUUCGUGCAGUAUUCUCUUACGGAACGGACAUGGAAGCAAUUGCAGAUGAAAGUCUUUAUUUACACACCAGAACUCAAACAGGAAUUGCGGUCUAAACGGGAAAAGAUAUACUCGAGGUCUUAAACAUGGAACUGGAUUCAAAGUGAGGAACAAACACAUGGCACGAUGACAUGACCGCUUAGCAUCCAGUGUGUGCUCCUGCUUGUCCAGAGGAGGAAGGACUUGUUCUUGUACAGGAGGAAUAUCAGCAGGGCCGUACAAUCCAUCAACAGGAUACUCUCCAGCUGAAAGAGGACAAAAG